GAGGGUAUAAGCUCAGUGUUAGAGCAUUCGACUGCAAAUCGAGAGGUUCCCGGUUCAGAUCCGGGUGUACUCU